GUUAGGAAUAUUGGACAAUGGGCGCAAGCCUGAUCCAGCCAUGCCGCGUGAGUGAUGAAGGCCUUCGGGUUGUAAAGCUCUUUAGCCGAUGAUUAUAAUGACUGUAGUCGGAAAAUAAGCCCCGGCUAACUUCGUGCCAGCAGCCGCGGUAAUACGAAGGGGGCGAGCGUUAUUCGGAAUCACUGGGCGUAAAGCGUGCGUAGGCGGCUUUGCAAGUUGGGAGUGAAAGCCCAGGGCUCAACCCUGGAAUUGCUCUCAAAACUGCAAGGCUCGAAUUCGGGAGAGGAUAGCGGAAUUGUCAGUGUAGCAGUGAAAUGCGUAGAUAUUGACAGGAACACCAGUGGCGUAAGCGGCUAUCUGGACCGAUAUUGACGCUGAGGCACGAAAGCGUGGGGAUCAAACAGGAUUAGAAACCCGUGUAGUCC
rnacentral:rRNA from 1 species